rnacentral:rRNA from 1 species
AUUGAACGCUGGCGGCAUGCCUUACACAUGCAAGUCGAACGGUAACAGGUCUUCGGAUGCUGACGAGUGGCGAACGGGUGAGUAAUACAUCGGAACGUGCCCGAUCGUGGGGGAUAACGAAGCGAAAGCUUUGCUAAUACCGCAUACGAUCUACGGAUGAAAGCAGGGGACCGCAAGGCCUUGCGCGAACGGAGCGGCCGAUGGCAGAUUAGGUAGUUGGUGGGAUAAAAGCUUACCAAGCCGACGAUCCGUAGCUGGUCUGAGAGGACGACCAGCCACACUGGGACUGAGACACGGCCCAGACUCCUACGGGAGGCAGCAGUGGGGAAUUUUGGACAAUGGGCGAAAGCCUGAUCCAGUCAUGCCGCGUGCAGGAUGAAGGCCUUCGGGUUGUAAACUGCUUUUGUACGGAACGAAAAGACUCUGGUUAAUACCUGGGGUCCAUGACGGUACCGUAAGAAUAAGCACCGGCUAACUACGUG